rnacentral:misc_RNA from 1 species
UUUUUAGGGUAUGGGUAUGGCUGAUUUAGGGUUUAGUUUUGGGUAUUAGCAUUUAAUUUAGCGGUAAAACAAGGGAAGAUUGAUAUUUGUAUUCAAAUUAUUUGAUUCUCUGUUUUAUAAAAACAUUUCAAUAUGAUAAUAAUGUAACUAUCAAUGGUAUGAUGAUAUUGUGUAGUUUGAGUUUGUGUUACGAUUUGUUUCGGAUAAAACUGUUG